UUUUUGGGGGGGUCUUUUCUAGGGCCGUACCUGCAGCACAUGGAGGUUCCCAGGCGAGGGGUCCAAUCAGAGCUGUAGCUGCCGGCCUACGCCAGAGCCAGCGGCUACAGCCCUGAUUAGACCCCUAGCCUGGGAACCAGGUGCAGCCCUAAAAAAAGACAAAAGACCAAAAAAAAAAAAAGAAAAGAAAAUCACACCAAAAAAAUCCCAUUAGGUUUGGCAUGCAAACAGUAUUAUUUCUCAGUAUAAACAUACUCUAUACUUAGGAGAAAAAGUGCUCUUCAAUAAUGACAAGGAAAAGGCACUAAAAAGACAGAUCAGUGCAUCUGCAGAUGACCUCUCCCAAAUUUGUAGUGUGGGAGAGGGCUAGGCUGAAAGCCCAGGUCCUCCAAACUCAAGGCCCACCUCAAAAUAGGCUGGGCCUGAUGAUGCCUUUGUCCUGGGACUAAGUGAAAGCAUGCUGUUAGGUCUGAGAAGUAAUCUGAGGAAGAACUAGAGCUCUGAAGCUCAUUUCUGGGAAAGAAAGAAAGAGCAGUUCAUUUCUGAUUCAUACCCCCAUAUAAGCAAUUUAAGGAUGAUUAAGUCCAGAUAUUAAGUAUAAGUUAGAUGUGGUGUUCCUGUUGUGGCUCAGCAGUAAUGAACCUAACUAGUAUACAUGAGGACACAGGUUCCAUCCCUGGCCCUGCUCAGUGGGUUAAGAAUCCUACGUUGCUACGACUGUGGCACAGGCUGGCAGCUGCAGCUCUGAUUAGAUCCCUAACCUGGGAACGUCCAUAUACCAUGGAUGUAGGCCUUAAAAAAAAAAAAGUUGGAUGUCAACUGCAAAGGUUGAUUUUAUAUGUUAACUUAGAAGGUGUUUCUGGACGAGAUCAACAUUUAAAUCAGUGAACUAUGUAUGAGUAAACUAGACUGCCAUCCACAACGUGUGUGGGCCUCAUCCAAGUAACUGAAGUCCUGAGUAGAACAAAAAGACCAGCCUCCCCAAGCAAGAGGGAAUUCUCCAGCAGAUUGCUUUCAAACUGGAACUGCACCGUCGGCUCUCUGGUGGCUCCACUUUGCCAGCCUUCACUGAAAUGGCACCACAGGCACUCCCACGUCUGUGCUUAUCAAGCCUGCCAGCCUCUAUUGCUAACAUUGGACCUGACAGCCUCCACAACUGCAUGAGCCAAUUCCUUGUAAUAAAUCUGUCUAUAUACACAUCUUAUCCAUUCUGUUUCUCUGAAGAACCCUCAAACAUUAGAGGUUCUAAUGGAGGUUUAAAGGAGGUCACAUCCACUUACGGAAUUUCAGAAAAAUUCACAGAACCCAUUUAUUCUUUCACUUAAACAUGUCACAAAUAUUUACCAAGCAUCAGUUAGGAGCUGGGACUACUGUGAGUACUGAUGUGGAUACGGUCCCUUUAAAGAGCUGACAUUUUAAUGUAGGAAACACACAAUAAGUACAUAGAUGUAAGGAGGUGAUAAGGGAUACAAGCAAAACCAAGUAGGGUAAGGGCAAGUUCAGAGUGAGGCAGAGAAGGAGAGAGUGACCAGAGCUCUACUUCAGACAGGGAAGGGCUCUCAUAAGGGAAGAUGCUAUGUGAGAAAAUGUGUGAACGAAGGGAGUAAGC
rnacentral:lncRNA from 1 species